rnacentral:lncRNA from 1 species
AUGUGUUAGCGGCCUUGGAAGAUGAAGGGGGAAGGGAGAGAGGAGGCGGUGGCAGCAAGGGGCAGCUGACAAGAGUGAUGGAGAGGGGGGGACAGAUGAGAGGAAUGCCAGUCAGGCCAGCUAACCCCCACCGCCGCCACCCUUCACCCCAGCCCCAAGAGAGGAAGCCGAUGGAAGAGUUCCAACCUUCCAUCCCCUCAUACUGCCAGAUGCUAAAGAGACUUGGGCCACACAGAGACCAAGGCAGAAUACAGAAAUCUACUAUUGCCAUCUUAGCAGGCUGGGAGCUUUACCCCUUGGAGGAUUCUGUAAAAGAUGCCACAAGGUUCUCAAGAACUACAGUUCUGUCUUUCUAGCCACCCCACACCCUUGCCUGGACAAGAGGCAUGUAAACAGAUGACAUCUGACUUCCAGAUCUCUGCUCCCUCACACCAUCAGUCUACCAGCUAACAGCCCAGCCCUCCAUGACAUCAUCCUAGGAAGUGACCCCUACAGAAACACUGCCUGGAAAUAGCUCGGGCUGGUGCUUCAGCCACAGCUACUGAAAACCCAGAAAACAAAGACCUUGC